UACGUAGGGAGCAAGCGUUGUCCGGAAUCAUUGGGCGUAAAGCGCGCGUAGGUGGCUUCGUAAGUCCGUUGUGAAAGUCAAAGGCUCAACCUUUGAAAGCCGAUGGAUACUGUGAAGCUAGAGUACGGAAGAGGCGAGUGGAAUUCCUGGUGUAGCGGUGGAAUGCGCAGAUAUCAGGAGGAACACCAAUAGCGAAGGCGGCACUCUGGGCCGAUACUGACGCUGAGGUGCGAAAGCGUGGGGAGCAAACAGG
rnacentral:rRNA from 1 species